rnacentral:rRNA from 1 species
UUAAGUUAGAAAGGGCGCACGGUGGAUGCCUUGGCACUAGGAGCCGAUGAAGGACGGGACGAACACCGAUAUGCUUCGGGGAGCUGUAAGCAAGCUUUGAUCCGGAGAUUUCCGAAUGGGGAAACCCACCACUCGUAAUGGAGUGGUAUCCAUAUCUGAAUACAUAGGAUAUGAGAAGGCAGACCCGGGGAACUGAAACAUCUAAGUACCCGGAGGAAGAGAAAGCAAAUGCGAUUCCCUGAGUAGCGGCGAGCGAAACGGGACCAGCCCAAACCAAGAGGCUUGCCUCUUGGGGUUGUAGGACACUCUGUACGGAGUUACAAAGGAACGAGGUAGAUGAAGAGGUCUGGAAAGGCCCGCCAUAGGAGGUAACAGCCCUGUAGUCAAAACUUCGUUCUCUCCUGAGUGGAUCCUGAGUACGGCGGAACACGUGAAAUUCCGUCGGAAUCCGGGAGGACCAUCUCCCAAGGCUAAAUACUCCCUAGUGACCGAUAGUGAACCAGUACCGUGAGGGAAAGGUGAAAAGCACCCCGGAAGGGGAGUGAAAGAGAUCCUGAAACCGUGUGCCUACAAGUAGUCAGAGCCCGUUAACGGGUGAUGGCGUGCCUUUUGUAGAAUGAACCGGCGAGUUACGAUCCCGUGCAAGGUUAAGCAGAAGAUGCGGAGCCGCAGCGAAAGCGAGUCUGAAUAGGGCGAAUUGAGUACGUGGUCGUAGACCCGAAACCAGGUGAUCUACCCAUGUCCAGGGUGAAGUUCAGGUAACACUGAAUGGAGGCCCGAACCCACGCACGUUGAAAAGUGCGGGGAUGAGGUGUGGGUAGGGGUGAAAUGCCAAUCGAACCUGGAGAUAGCUGGUUCUCUCCGAAAUAGCUUUAGGGCUAGCCUCAAGGUAAGAGUCUCGGAGGUAGAGCACUGAUUGGACUAGGGGCCCCUACCGGGUUACCGAAUUCAGUCAAACUCCGAAUGCCGACGACUUAUCCUUGGGAGUCAGACUGCGAGUGAUAAGAUCCGUAGUCGAAAGGGAAACAGCCCAGACCGCCAGCUAAGGUCCCAAAGUAUACGUUAAGUGGAAAAGGAUGUGGAGUUGCUUAGACAACCAGGAUGUUGGCUUAGAAGCAGCCACCAUUUAAAGAGUGCGUAAUAGCUCACUGGUCGAGUGACUCUGCGCCGAAAAUGUACCGGGGCUAAACGUAUCACCGAAGCUGCGGACUGUUCUUCGAACAGUGGUAGGAGAGCGUUCUAAGGGCUGUGAAGCAAGACCGGAAGGACUUGUGGAGCGCUUAGAAGUGAGAAUGCCGGUAUGAGUAGCGAAAGAGGGGUGAGAAUCCCCUCCACCGAAUGCCUAAGGUUUCCUGAGGAAGGCUCGUCCGCUCAGGGUUAGUCGGGACCUAAGCCGAGGCCGAAAGGCGUAGGCGAUGGACAACAGGUUGAUAUUCCUGUACCACCUCCUCACCAUUUGAGCAAUGGGGGGACGCAGGAGGAUAGGGUAAGCGCGGUAUUGGAUAUCCGCGUCCAAGCAGUUAGGCUGGGAAAUAGGCAAAUCCGUUUCCCGUGAAGGCUGAGCUGUGAUGGCGAGCGAAUUAUAGUAGCGAAGUUCCUGAUUCCACACUGCCAAGAAAAGCCUCUAGCGAGGUGAGAGGUGCCCGUACCGCAAACCGACACAGGUAGGCGAGGAGAGAAUCCUAAGGUGAUCGAGAGAACUCUCGUUAAGGAACUCGGCAAAAUGACCCCGUAACUUCGGGAGAAGGGGUGCUCUGUUAGGGUGCAAGCCCGAGAGAGCCGCAGUGAAUAGGCCCAGGCGACUGUUUAGCAAAAACACAGGUCUCUGCGAAGCCGUAAGGCGAAGUAUAGGGGCUGACGCCUGCCCGGUGCUGGAAGGUUAAGAGGAGCGCUUAGCGUAAGCGAAGGUGCGAAUUGAAGCCCCAGUAAACGGCGGCCGUAACUAUAACGGUCCUAAGGUAGCGAAAUUCCUUGUCGGGUAAGUUCCGACCCGCACGAAAGGCGCAACGAUCUGGGCACUGUCUCAACGAGAGACUCGGUGAAAUUAUAGUACCUGUGAAGAUGCAGGUUACCCGCGACAGGACGGAAAGACCCCGUGGAGCUUUACUGCAGCCUGAUAUUGAAUGUUGGUACAGCUUGUACAGGAUAGGUAGGAGCCUUGGAAACCGGAGCGCCAGCUUCGGUGGAGGCAUCGGUGGGAUACUACCCUGGCUGUAUUGACCUUCUAACCCGCCGCCCUUAUCGGGCGGGGAGACAGUGUCAGGUGGGCAGUUUGACUGGGGCGGUCGCCUCCUAAAAGGUAACGGAGGCGCCCAAAGGUUCCCUCAGAAUGGUUGGAAAUCAUUCGCAGAGUGUAAAGGCACAAGGGAGCUUGACUGCGAGACCUACAAGUCGAGCAGGGACGAAAGUCGGGCUUAGUGAUCCGGUGGUUCCGCAUGGAAGGGCCAUCGCUCAACGGAUAAAAGCUACCCCGGGGAUAACAGGCUUAUCUCCCCCAAGAGUCCACAUCGACGGGGAGGUUUGGCACCUCGAUGUCGGCUCAUCGCAUCCUGGGGCUGUAGUCGGUCCCAAGGGUUGGGCUGUUCGCCCAUUAAAGCGGUACGCGAGCUGGGUUCAGAACGUCGUGAGACAGUUCGGUCCCUAUCCGUCGCGGGCGCAGGAAAUUUGAGAGGAGCUGUCCUUAGUACGAGAGGACCGGGAUGGACGCACCGCUGGUGUACCAGUUGUUCUGCCAAGGGCAUCGCUGGGUAGCUAUGUGCGGACGGGAUAAGUGCUGAAAGCAUCUAAGCAUGAAGCCCCCCUCAAGAUGAGAUUUCCCAUUCCGCAAGGAAGUAAGAUCCCUGAAAGAUGAUCAGGUUGAUAGGUCUGAGGUGGAAGUGUGGCGACACAUGGAGCUGACAGAUACUAAUCGAUCGAGGACUUAACCAA